AAAUUGAAGAGUUUGAUCAUGGCUCAGAUUGAACGCUGGCGGCAGGCCUAACACAUGCAAGUCGAACGGUAACAGAAAGCAGCUUGCUGCUUUGCUGACGAGUGGCGGACGGGUGAGUAAUGUCUGGGAAACUGCCUGAUGGAGGGGGAUAACUACUGGAAACGGUAGCUAAUACCGCAUAACGUCGCAAGACCAAAGAGGGGGACCUUCGGGCCUCUUGCCAUCGGAUGUGCCCAGAUGGGAUUAGCUAGUAGGUGGGGUAACGGCUCA
rnacentral:rRNA from 1 species